ACUUCAGCACCAUUUGGAGAUGCUUAAGAGUUCCUGUAGAGCUGCCUAGGCAGAGCAGGGUCCAAGGGUGUGAAAAAUAAUUGUCUGAGGAAUAGAGACCUCUCUACCAAAGAGGACCCAUGGGACUCCAGCUGGGAAUACCUGGUGACAGUUCUUCAUCACAGCCCUGAUUUCAUGUCCCCCACAGCCAGGCCCAAAGGAACCCAGGCUGCUUUAGUCCUUGCUAAGAGCUCUGAGUGCAGUGGGACAGUGUUCCCUGAAAGCUGGGAAGGGGCUGAAUACAGAGGACCAACUUGCUGUUUCUUCCUGUGUUAAAAAAAGGCUCAUGAAUUAACCAAACGGAUUUAAAAAUUCCAGAAACCAUUAUGUAUUUGAUACCUGCACUGACAACAGCACAGGAGGCUGCAUUUUUCUGGAAGAGGUCUGCUCAUCCCCAUUGUUUUGCAAUAGAACAUUAUCAGCAGCCACAACAAGAGAGUUUUAGUGAAUCUGGAGACCAUGGCCAUGUUUCUUGAACCCAAGCCACUGCCUCCUGAAAGGAUGGCAAAGAAAGCCCAUGCACCUUUCUAAAUGAUGCUUUUAAAUUUUUCCCCCAUUACUAGUAUUUUUCCCCAUUACACUCUCUUACUGUAAAACAGUACAACAGCUGUAGUAGAGCAGGGAGGCAGCUUGAACUGAGAAAAUGAUUGAUAGAUUGGGAAAAUUUAGAAAUAAUACUUAUCCUUCACAUUAUCCAUUAGGUCAGAAAAAUAUCCUUAUCCCUUAACUCAGGGAAGAUCCCAGGUGCCUGAAUGAGUUACAACAGCACUGCAGAGCUGCACAGAAGUUGCUUACUUGUGCAUAUCAGCAAUGCCAGAAAAAAUCUGCUUUGAUCAGCCUCACAAGACCUUUAUGGGAAUACCUCUUUCCUCAUGAGGGUGUUCUGUGACACACAGCCUAGUUAUGCUGGCAGGAAGAUUUGAAGUCUCGAGACUGGCUGUUCUGCUCUGGCCUGCAAUUACACCGGUAGCUGAGAGGGAGAAUUUAUUAAAUUGCAACAUUCUUUUGGCUAAAACACAGUUGGACUGACUUGUUGUGCAGCUCAAGAGUGAAAAGAGAUGCUUCUAGCUUUUUAAGUUCAUCAAAAUUCACCCUAAAUGAGUUUCCCAAGGAAAAGGCUUAGGAAUUCAGCUUGACAUAUGAGACGUUUUCCAGCCAACUCUGGACUGCUAGAUCUUGGCAAGAAACUCAAACUUCAUUUCCAGGUCCAGAUAUUUGGUUCUGGAGCACGAAGAACAAAAGGCUUGUUUCUGGAUUUCUCCACUAGCAAUCAGUGAUCUGCCAAGAAAAUACAAAUGCAGCAACAACCCCCAGAUAUUUUGUCAGGAUCAGACUGAUGAACAACUGGAAUUCUCAAGUGACAGAUUCCACACCCAGUUCUCCAGAAGGGAGAUGCAUUUUUAUAGGGAGGGAUAUUAGAUAAGUGCUGUCCAGCUGGCCUGAGCCUCUCCUUGGUCCCACAAGCCCAAUGGCAGCAGGAACACCAAUAUCCCAUUAGUAUUAAUUAUGAAAAUAACAAAUUGCUUUCUAACAGCUUGAUAUACUAUUUUUCUUUCUAAUCUUUCUAAUGUAGAGUUAGAAAAGGAAUGGAUGGCAGCUGCCAGCUCCAAUACAACCUCAGGACAGGAUUUGGUGAGGUCUGUUGGCUGCUUAUACAACUGCACCAAGCAGCCAGAGCUCAGGAAGUGUAUGCACAAUGAUCUAAGGCACAGGGUGUGACUCUUGGGGCUGCCCUGUGCAGGCCAGGAGUUGGGUUUGUUGGUCUCUGUGGCCCCCUUCCAGCUCAGGGUAUUCUGUGCUUCUCUGAACUGAACAGCAGGGUUUGCCUGGGACUUGAAUGCUGUGUUACACUUUUUCAUUUCCUGCCUUCUCUGAGAUUUUAAAACUCAAAAGCUGUGCUGAACUAUUACUUAUAAUAAAAUCCAGUUCUAUUAACUGUACUGUAAGGAAAUCCAUUCAUGUUCACAGAAUAA